rnacentral:pre_miRNA from 1 species
AAUGAAAUUGCUGGGUCAUAUGGUAACUCUAUGUUUAAGAAACUGCCAAGCUGUUUUCCAAGUAGCUAUAUCAUUUAACUCCCACCAGCAAU